GAGAAUCAGCAUCACAUGCCUCCUUUAGUGCAACACACAGUAACUGGCUAUUAUUGCUGCCAAGAAGAACAGCAUAAAACCAGAUGAAACCAAUAUUCUAUCUCACAUUCCCAGUAUUUCAUGGAUUCCCACAAUCCUGUGAUGUCUAAAGUUCUUCAACCUUGAAAUUAAGUAAGCUUGAUGUGGAUCUGACUGCACUUUAUUACCUCAGCUGAGAGCUUGCCACUCCUGCUGGAGCCCU